UACGUAGGGGGCAAGCGUUGUCCGGAUUUAUUGGGCGUAAAGAGCGUGUAGGCGGCCAUGCAGGUCCGUUGUGAAAACUGGAGGCUUAACCUCCAGACGUCGAUGGAAACCGUAUGGCUAGAGUCCGGAAGAGGAGAGUGGAAUUCCUGGUGUAGCGGUGAAAUGCGCAGAUAUCAGGAAGAACACCAAUGGCGAAGGCAGCUCUCUGGGACGGUACUGACGCUGAGACGCGAAAGCGUGGGGAGCGAACAGG
rnacentral:rRNA from 1 species